rnacentral:ncRNA from 2 species
UAAUGCCUGGAGGGGAGCUCCAAAAUGCGGGGCUGAGAGGAAGGAGUCAAUCCUUCGACCCUUCGAACCUGAUCCGGGUAAUACCGGCGGAGGGACCAGGUGACUCAAAAAU